UACAGAGGUCUCAAGCGUUGUUCGGAUUCAUUGGGCGUAAAGGGUGCGUAGGCGGCGCGGUAAGUCGGGUGUGAAAUCUUGGAGCUUAACUCCGAAACUGCAUUCGAUACUGCCGUGCUUGAGGACUGGAGAGGAGACUGGAAUUACGGUGUAGCGGUGAAAUGCGUAGAUAUCGUAAGGAAGACCAGUGGCGAAGGCGGGUCUCUGGACAGUUCCUGACGCUGAGGCACGAAGGUCAGGGGAGCAAACGGG
rnacentral:rRNA from 1 species